rnacentral:rRNA from 1 species
UACGUAGGAUCCGAGCGUUAUCCGGAUUUAUUGGGCGUAAAGCGCGUCUAGGUGGUUUGGUAAGUCUGAUGUGAAAAUGCGGGGCUCAACUCCGUAUUGCGUUGGAAACUGUCAAACUAGAGUACUGGAGAGGUAGGCGGAACUACAAGUGUAGAGGUGAAAUUCGUAGAUAUUUGUAGGAAUGCCGAUGGAGAAGGCAGCCCACUGGACAGAUACUGACGCUGAAGCGCGAAAGCGUGGGGAGCAAACAGG